rnacentral:rRNA from 1 species
UCCAGACUCCUACGGGAGGCAGCAGUGGGGAAUAUUGGGCAAUGGGCGAAAGCCUGACCCAGCAACGCCGCGUGAAGGAAGAAGGCUUUCGGGUUGUAAACUUCUUUUGUUAGAGAAGAUAAUGACGGUAUCUAACGAAUAAGCACCGGCUAACUCCGUGCCAGCAGCCGCGGUAAUACGGAGGGUGCAAGCGUUACUCGGAAUCACUGGGCGUAAAGAGCGCGUAGGCGGGAUAGCAAGUCAGAUGUGAAAUCCUAUGGCUUAACCAUAGAACUGCAUUUGAAACUGUUAUUCUAGAGUAUGGGAGAGGUAGGUGGAAUUCUUGGUGUAGGGGUAAAAUCCGUAGAGAUCAAGAGGAAUACUCAUUGCGAAGGCGACCUGCUAGAACAUAACUGACGCUGAUGCGCGAAAGCGUGGGGAGCAAACAGGAUUAGAUACCCCUGUA